CUGCAGGGUCAUCUUUGAAUCCAGUCAUCCAUGUUUAUGUGAACAACGCCAAGAUCAGAGUCUUUCUCACAUUCAUGAUCUCCAAAGGAAAUGAAGGGUUGGCAUCUAAAGGUGGCAGUGUGUGUGACAAGAGCGAGGACUGCAGUGAAAACCAGCCUGGACACAAAGUUCGUUGAAAGAGGAUAGGACCAGGACCAUAAUUCAGUGACAGACUUCUCCAGAUCAGCUGUUGCAUGCCCUCGACUACUCCCCCUUGUGGACACAAGUAGACUUUCCAAUUGUGUCUCCCACCUGCCUUCCUUUGGAUCCAGGGCAUUGGUAUCCCUGUCCUCAAGGAAUGAUUUAGAAUGAACAAUGUAUUAUGACCUAGGAAAGAAGAGGGUAGAGAUUCAAUACACACCAAGCUCCUGUUUUUAUCAACAUGAUCUAACAAUACAAGUCAGGAACUAGAAAUGAACUUCAUGGUCAGGUCCGAAUUCAAGAGGCUGGUCGGAUACAGCAGAAAAGAACAGGAGCUUUGGUACACCACUUGCAUGCCCAUGUCCACGUCCUUAAGCUGCUACUGAGAACUGUGCCCCCAAGUCA